CCUACGGGUGGCUGCAGUGAGGAAUAUUGGUCAAUGGUCGGGAGACUGAACCAGCCAAGCCGCGUGAGGGAUGAAGGUACAGAGUAUCGUAAACCUCUUUUGUCAGGGAACAAAGGCGGGGACGUGUCCCCGGAUGAGUGUACCUGACGAAAAAGCAUCGGCUAACUUCGUGCCCGCAGCCGCGGUAAUACGGAGGAAGCGAGCGUUAUCCGGUUUUAUUGGGUUUUAAGGGUGCGUAGGCGGUCUUUUAAGUUAGCGGUAAAAGGCCGGGGCUCAACCCCGGCCCGCCGUUGAAACUGGGGGUCUCGAGUUGGAGAGAAGUAUGCGGAAUGCGCGGUGUAGCGGUGAAAUGCAUAGAUAUCGCGCAGAACUCCGAUUGCGAAGGCAGCAUGCCGGCGCCACACUGACGCUGAGGCACGAAAGCGUGGGUAUCGAACAGGAUUAGAUACCCUAGUAGUC
rnacentral:rRNA from 1 species